GGGGCCGUAGCUCAGCUGGGAGAGCACCUGCUUUGCAAGCAGGGGGUCGUCGGUUCGAUCCCGUAAGGCUCCACCA
rnacentral:tRNA from 1 species